AGAAUCAACGCUGGCGGCGUGCCUAACACAUGCAAGUCGCACGAGAAAGGGUAGCAAUACCUGAGUAAAGUGGCGCACGGGUGAGUAACACGUGAAUGAUCUACCUCCGAGUGGGGAAUAACUGAGAGAAAUCUCAGCUAAUACCGCAUAACACUUACGAGUCAAAGCAGCAAUGCGCUUGGAGAGGAGUUCGCGGCCGAUUAGUUAGUUGGCGGGGUAAUGGCCCACCAAGACGAUGAUCGGUA
rnacentral:rRNA from 1 species